GAUGAACGCUAGCGGCAGGCCUAAUACAUGCAAGCCGAACGGCAAGAUUGAUAGCAAUAUUGAUCCUAGAGUGGCGUAAGGGUGCGUAACACGUAUGCAAUCUACCCUCAACAGGAGGAUAGCUCCCCGAAAGGGGAAUUAAGACUCCAUAAGAUCAUUUGGUGGCAUCAUUGAAUGAUUAAACUUCCAGGGGUUGAGGAUGAGCAUGCGCCNGAUUAGUUAGUUGGCGGGGUAAGGGCCCACCAAGACGAUGAUCAGUAGGGGAACUGAGAGGUUGAUCCCCCACACUGGCACUGAGAGUACGGG
rnacentral:rRNA from 1 species